UGCACUUAGCUCGAAGAAGGAGCAAGUUCGAGAGGUUUGUAAAGAACUUAAACAGUUUACGGGUUUCAGUCAGUUGCAAACGUUUCUGUCAUUGCAUAUCAAACUCUAUUUGUGAGAUUAAGAUUGAGAGUCCAGCCAUGGACGCCAAGACGGUGUUUCUAUUAGCACUGUCGGCAGUGCUGACAGAUAUGGUACAGGGCCAGUGCAGACGACCUAUACUGUGCAAAAGUCCCUGCGAGCUGGGAGUGGCUCUCCCCGACCGUUGCGGAAUCUGCGUAUGCGCCCCGCAGUGCCCCAUCUGCCCUUCUCGAUGCUAUUACCGACAACCACUAGGGCAAUGUCCUACGUGUGCACCUGCCAGACUCUGCUUCAUAUAGAAAUCUCGCUGCAACAUUGUGAAACUGCAAAACGCAAUAAAAACGAAGAAAA